CGCAGCCGCGGUAAUACAGAGGGUGCAAGCGUUAAUCGGAAUUACUGGGCGUAAAGCGCGCGUAGGUGGUUCGCCAAGUUGGAUGUGAAAUCCCCGGGCUCAACCUGGGAACUGCAUCCAAAACUGGCGAGCUAGAGUAUGGUAGAGGGUGGUGGAAUUUCCUGUGUAGCGGUGAAAUGCGUAGAUAUAGGAAGGAACAUCAGUGGCGAAGGCGACCACCUGGACUGAUACUGACACUGAGGUGCGAAAGCGUGGGGAGCAAACAGGAUUAGAUACCCCCGUAGUCCCUGUCUCUUAUACA
rnacentral:rRNA from 1 species